rnacentral:rRNA from 1 species
UUUCAGCAACGGAUCUCUUGGCUCUCGCAUCGAUGAAGAACGCAGCGAAAUGCGAUAAGUAAUGUGAAUUGCAGAAUUCAGUGAAUCAUCGAAUCUUUGAACGCACCUUGCGCCCCUUGGUAUUCCGAGGGGCAUGCCUGUUUGAGUGU